rnacentral:lncRNA from 1 species
AAUGAUGAAAUGAGGCCUUUUGUUACAUAAAACAACAUGAACUAGAGUACACCGUUCGUUAUGCAGCAUGGUUCACACCCAAAGGGUUUGGUAAUACAGAUGCUCAUAGUAAAAAACACAAAGUGUUAUGGGAAAGUGAAGGAUGUUACGCAAAUGUUCCAUUCAUAGUUUUAGCACGCAAAGUUUUGAAUUGCUCACAUGGAAUAGAUCGUAAUGAUGCAGCAAAGAAAGCAUACAAGAAUAAGACAAAAACAAAGAUAACAGAACACUCUUGUAUGAGGAGUUAAAUUAAUGUGCAGGACAGGAAAAAACUUAAA